rnacentral:rRNA from 1 species
CUGUCACGUUGUGACAGCCGACGCGGUAAGACGAAGUGGGCUGGCGAGACUCGGAAUGUCUGUGCGGGAAGCGCUGUUGUGUGGUUCGUUCAGUCCGAUGUGAAAGGCCUGGGCUCAACCUGGGAAUGGCAUUGGAUACUGGCGGGCUAGAGUGCGGUAGAGGGCAGUGGAAUUCCCGGUGUAGCAGUGAAAUGCGUAGAGAUCGGGAGGAACAUCUGUGGCGAAGGCGACUGCCUGGACCAGCACUGACACUGAGGCACGAAAGCGUGGGGAGCAAACAGGAUUAGAUUCCCCGGUAGUC